ensembl:lncRNA LINC01515 long intergenic non-protein coding RNA 1515
AAACGGCUGGGUAGGAAGCACGCUAGCAGGGGCCUCUGGCCUUGCUGAGGGUCCCUGUUUCCCCUUUUCCUUCCUUUUCACCCAACAAAACCCUGCUUUACUCACCCUUCAAACCAUCUAUGAGCCUAAAUUGUCGUGGUCGUGGAAUGGACAAGGACCCAGUCUUUAGCUGAACUAAGGGAAAGUCCUGCUUUUUGGCGCGCAACAGGGGAGCUCAAGAAACAGGCCUCACUCACGGCAUAUGGAACUAACCACGCCCCUAACUAAGAAGGCACACCUUAGUUGCAGUUAGCACACAAUUAAAGCAACUCUCCAAGUUUUACCUUAAAGUUCAAAAUUGCUAGGAGUUGAAACUACUAGAAAUAUAUUUACAUGCAAGAGUCAAAGAAACUUUGAACUAUUUAUGGCCUUUAAUAAUUAAGUAAGGUAUACUCCUGUGAUCAAGACUUGGAGCAUAUUUGUUUCUCUCUGCCUGGUUCCUCUAGAAAUUGGAAACUAUCAGAACAGAGACCAACUCCGUUUCCCGAUCCCUUUGCAAUCUGCAUUGAACCAUGAGUCAAGUUCUUGAUAAAGGAGUGAAAAUGGAUGACAUUUAAGGCACAUCUGAAGAUGGGGAAACCACAGCACAGAAUAAGGCUGGGCCCUUGAAUCAAUAAAUGAAGGAGAACUACUCAAGAGAACAAAACCACCAGCAAUAUCCACCUGUAUUUGUCUUUUCAUAAUGUGUGACACAUGUGCUCAUGGAUUAUUGUCCGAAGCAAGACAUGUGACCAAGCCUAACAUCAACUGGGUGAAGAGCUAUAUGUUCCUUUCUCAAGAGGCACUACAAGUGACAUGCCACUGGGCAGUGGCUGCUAUGGAAACAAGUCCUGAUGCAUGACAGAGGAGGAAAGCUAUCAGUCCUGUGGUUAAAGAGGGGACAUUUCCACUAGAUUUCCAAUUGCAUAUGGAAUCAAGAAAGAAGCAACUGGGAAUUACUUCACACAGCAAAUCUAAGGAAGAGACUGUUAAUUUGGCUUUGCCAGUUACUCCUUCUCAAGGCCCAUAAUUAAAUGUGAGUUUCUGGGCACUAAUGCAAAAGCCAGAUUUGCUCUGAGCCUGCGGGGCUUAUAAAUUGGUUGCUUUUGCAAACUGUUAUUGUUCCUUUAGGUCAAGAGGGGAAGAAUUAUUGACUUUGUUCAGUUGAAUUAAAUGCUCCCCUUGUGGUUUGAAAGAAGAAAUUUGCCUCCCUCACCCUCUAAGAUUACAUACAAAGGGAGAAUUGUUUUUGGGCAAGUUAGACUUGAUGAAAAAAUAUACAGUUCUACUGGAUUAUAGCACUGUGUGUUGCCUUAGAGUCACAUGACUCCAGUUUUGCCUUCUAUAUGAAGCCCAAGGCUUUCAUCUUUUUCUGAUACAGUGGGCUCUUCAGCUUUAAGCACUGACUUUUGUGUGCUAGUAUACAAUGCCUGUACACUCCCACAAAAAGCUCAAGAUGUCCUUACACGUAUUUGCUGUAGGUGUCCUUCAGCCGAUUUCAGUGCCUAGAAUCUAGAUGCUUUGCACCUAGUUUCACCUUUGCUCACAGAUGCUAGUGCCUUUUAGAAUCCCAAGAGGCCAAAGUAAAACUGAAAAGCCUAGGAGGACCUGGUGUGGCAAAAUCUCAUCAUGAUCCAUGCAACAGUGGAGGCAAUGUUACGCUCUGCCUCAGGUUAUACUUCUAUGCAAAUUAAAAAUAAAAUUCAUAGGAAGCAAUUAUAUUAGAGUUGGUAUUUAAUCCAGCAUUCUUCUGAAUUAUCUUACAUAUAAACUUAGUUCAUCUUA